rnacentral:rRNA from 1 species
GAUGAACGCUGGCGGCGUGCCUAAUACAUGCAAGUCGAGCGAACAGAUGAGGAGCUUGCUCCUCUGACGUUAGCGGCGGACGGGUGAGUAACACGUGGAUAACCUACCUAUAAGACUGGGAUAACUUCGGGAAACCGGAGCUAAUACCGGAUAAUAUAUUGAACCGCAUGGUUCAAUAGUGAAAGACGGUUUUGCUGUCACUUAUAGAUGGAUCCGCGCCGCAUUAGCUAGUUGGUAAGGUAACGGCUUACCAAGGCAACGAUGCGUAGCCGACCUGAGAGGGUGAUCGGCCACACUGGAACUGAGACACGGUCCAGACUCCUACGGGAGGCAGCAGUAGGGAAUCUUCCGCAAUGGGCGAAAGCUUGACGGAGCAACGCCGCGUGAGUGAUGAAGGUCUUCGGAUCGUAAAACUCUGUUAUUAGGGAAGAACAAAUGUGUAAGUAACUAUGCACGUCUUGACGGUACCUAAUCAGAAAACCACGGCUAACUACGUG